rnacentral:rRNA from 1 species
GAUGAACGCUGGCGGCGUGCCUAAUACAUGCAAGUCGAGCGAACAGACGAGGAGCUUGCUCCUCUGACGUUAGCGGCGGUCGGGUGAGUAACACGUGGAUAACCUACCUAUAAGACUGGGAUAACUUCGGGAAACCGGAGCUAAUACCGGAUAAUAUAUUGAACCGCAUGGUUCAAUAGUGAAAGACGGUUUUGCUGCCACUUAUAGAUGGAUCCGCGCCGCAUUAGCUAGUUGGUAAGGUAACGGCUUACCAAGGCAACGAUGCGUAGCCGACCUGAGAGGGUGAUCGGCCACACUGGAACUGAGACACGGUCCAGACUCCUACGGGAGGCAGCAGUAGGGAAUCUUCCGCAAUGGGCGAAAGCCUGACGGAGCAACGCCGCGUGAGUGAUGAAGGUCUUCGGAUCGUAAAACUCUGUUAUUAGGGAAGAACAAAUGUGUAAGUAACUAUGCACGUCUUGACGGUACCUAAUCAGAAAGCCACGGCUAACUACGUG